UGAAAUUGCAGCAGGUUCGCUACCCCCACGUCC
rnacentral:sRNA from 1 species